GUCGUGUAGUAUAAUUGGUCAGGAGCUGGUCUUUCAACUCAGAGGUUGUGGGUUCAAGUCCCAGGCAGGGCA